rnacentral:rRNA from 1 species
UACAGAGGCCUCGAGCGUUAGGCGGAAUCACUGGGCUUAAAGCGUGUGUAGGUGGAUGCCUAAGUACCUUGUGAAAUCCCAUGGCUUAACCAUGGAACUGCUGGGUAUACUGGGUGUCUUGAGCCACUCAGGGGCUACCGGAACAAACGGUGGAGCGGUGAAAUGCGUAGAUAUCGUUUGGAACGCCAAUGGUGAAAACAGGUAGCUGGGGGUGUGCUGACACUGAGACACGAAAGCCAGGGGAGCGAACGGG